rnacentral:rRNA from 1 species
UAAUGCAUGCAAGUCGAGCGAACCUGUGACUUCGGUCACACAUAGGUUAGCGGCGGACGGCUGAGUAACACGUGAGUAACUUGCCUUUUGGUGGGGUAUAGCCCAGAGAAAUCUGGAUUAAUCCCGCAUAAGAUCUUAGAACCCUGGUUCUUUGAUGAAAGCCUUCGGGCGCCGAAAGAGAGGCUCGCGGACUAUCAGGUAGUUGGUGGGGUAAUGGCCUACCAAGCCUAAGACGGUUAGCUGGUCUGAGAGGAUGAUCAGCCAGAGGGGGACUGAGACACGGCCCCCACUCCUACGGGAGGCAGCAGCAGGGAAUCUUGGGCAAUGGACGAAAGUCUGACCCAGCGACAUCGCGUGGGGGAUGAAGGCCUUAGGGUUGUAAACCCCUUUUAUAAGAGAAGAGUAAGGACGGUACCUUAUGAAUAAGCCCCGGCUAACUACGUGCCAGCAGCCGCGGUAAUACGUAGGGGGCGAGCGUUACCCGGAAUCACUGGGCGUAAAGAGAGCGUAGGCGGUUUGGAAAGUCAUUUGUGAAAGCUCCUGGCUCAACUAGGAGAGGUCAAGUGAAACUUCCUGACUUGAGGACGGUAGAGGUAAGCGGAAUUCUUGGUGUAGCGGUGAAAUGCGUAGAUAUCAAGAAGAACACCAGAGGCGAAGGCGGCUUACUGGGCCGUUUCUGACGCUGAGGCUCGAGAGCGUGGGUAGCAAACAGGAUUAGAUACCCUGGUAGUCCACGCCGUAAACGAUGGAUACUAGGUAUGGAGGGUAUCGACCCCUUCCGUGCCGAAGCUAACGCGAUAAGUAUCCCGCCUGGGGAGUACGG